rnacentral:rRNA from 1 species
GUCUACAGCCCUACCACCGUGAACACGCAUGAUCUUGUCUGAUCUCAGAAGCUAAGCAAUGUCAGGCCUGGUUAGUACUUGGAUGGAAGAUUUAUUUUAUUAUUUCACCCCAAACCUCAACACAUGGGGUUCAUGUCA